CUUACCUCGAAAUUGUGCUCGAAAUGGCUUGAUUUUUGUUAAUUGGAAUGUAAACACCCGAAUUGAAGCACCGUUUUCGUGGGUUGUGGGCAGUAUUUUGAGGUAAGUUUUAUAUCAAUCGACUCAUUUCCUUGUUCUGAUCAAAAGCCCUAAAACAUCGGUUUGUAAUUCGGAAAAAAACUUAACUCCGUUAAGCUAUUUUAACGGUGGACUAUUUUACAAAAAAAAAAUUGACCAGUUCCGAUUAUUAUCGGCUAAUAACUGACUUGGGAUUAUUGGCCAAAUUGAGAAAGUUGGGAUUAUUUUUUCCAAUUUGCCAAACUAAUUAUUGAUUUAAAUUUUAGUGAUUAUCGUCUUUAGAAUUUUGGUUGCUUGCUGUUGUCUAUGUGCAUAUGUGAUUGUGUAUCUAUUUACAUAUAUAUGAGGAUAGAGAAAUUAAGAAUUAGUAGUAGCUUCUUCUACCAAGUUAUGGUGUUUAGAACCUCACUGGCAUGCUAUUAUCUGUAUGCUAUUAUUCAGUUAACAGUCGUUAAUUCAGUUUUUAACCGAAACUGAAUCAGUAUUGUUCUUUGUUAUUGUUUGGAGACUUGAUUUUGUAGGAUUUGUUUGACUACUUUUUUUUUUGUUAAAAAAAUCGGAUUUUUGAGUUCAAAAAAUAAAGAUUUAAACUUUUACACACUGGUAGUCGUUUGUCAUUGUUCGUGUUCAUCUCCGGUUCAAGAUUCCGCUUGCCCUAACAGAUCUGCAAGAUUUCUCAGCUGCUUUGAUUUGAAAGCUCUUGUUGUUUAAAACAUAUCGAUUUCGUAGAUCUGUUUUUCAGCUGCUUCGAUUUCGACAGCUCUAACAGAUCUUAAUCAGUAAUAUAUUUCUCUGUCUUCAAACAAAUUUAUGAAUACAGAUCACAUACAAUUCAUUGAUACAUUUUGGUGUCCAUAAAGAUUAUGUGGAUGGUGGGAACCUACAUUUACACUUUGCACCCGAACCCCACCCUCACGAUAUGCUCGGUAAAGAAACCCUUCACUGUCUCUGUUUCCAAUAGUUACGAGUGAUUUCUGUUGAAGAACUCUUUGAUUAUUUUUAGCAUGAAAUCCACAGCUUUCAAACGUGUUUUUAUAAGUUCUUUCGUAGCUUAGUAUCAAAUUUUUAUUAGUUUCUUUGAGUCUUUGUAGUGCAUUUAUACAGGCCCCAUUCUUGCCACAUAUAAAUGAACCCAAAACAUUUGUCCCGAAAGAAACAAAAUAAAAAAAUGAAACUAAGUUAUGAAAGCCUCCAAGAUGAUUACAAACAAAUAUUAUAGAUGUGUAUGCUUGCUUAAAGGUUAAGAGUAAAAAAGCUUGCGGCAGACAUGCUUGAUAGUUGUGGCUUUUAUGCUAAAAUUGGUCUGAGAGUUCAACAAAAAUCGCCAUACCUAUUAGUAACACGGGUAGUGUAUGUAUGCGUUCCAAUAUAUAUAGAAGAAAUGAGCUAUAUUGCACGUCAUGUGCUUUCGGAUGAUGCGGCAGACAUAGUCUACGGCUGAGGGUUCAGAAGGAAAUUGAAGAUGUCUUGGCUAAUGACUUGUGGUCUUGUGCUUCGGUCCGACGUUGAUCUCAUGGUCGCUUCAGCGGAUGCAAAGAGAUGUAUUGGUAUCGUGUAUGUGCAAGGAGUUUGCACCAACAUGGGAGCAUAGUUGUCAAUAGCGGCUACAACGAUCGCUAUAGCGCACUAUGUAGCGAAUCGAUGUAGUGUCGCUAUUUGGGUUAUAGCGACUGAUAGCGUAAAUAGCGACAGUUAUUUUUUAAUUUUUUUUUUUGAUGUAAAUAGCAAUUAGAUAUAGCUAUAAAAUAGUUGGAUUAUUGGUUUUUGUUAAAUAUACAUGUAAAAUAGCAUAUAUACCAAUACCAUGGUAUUUUAAUAUAACAUACAUAUAAAAAUUUUCAAAAUUCUUUUUCUACUGUGUCGCUAUUUAUAAAAUAGUGGUCACUAUUUGUCGCUAUUUGCUAUGUAGCAUAUAGGUCCCUUGUCGCUAUUUGUCGCUAUUCACUAUUAACAACUAUGCAUGGGAAACAUAUGGAUGAGCUAUUUCAAACCUUUUACCUUGUCCUGAGUUUUGGCAGCUGGGAUUAUUGGGGCUUGGAGAAUAACCGGAUCACUGGGAAUCUGGGUUGGGCUGCGGCUGUUAUCGUGAGGAAAGCUGUUUUGUAUAUGAACAUGGAUAGGAAAGCCAAUUGGUUUGAAGAGGCUGUUGAUAUGAUUUUGUUUUACACAAUAAAAUCAAUGAUAAACGGAUUAUGGUGCUCAAGAACUGUGAUUAUGAGUAAUCUGAGGAGUUGCAGCUAUUAAAAAGCUAAAGUCAUGGAUAGUCAACUGUGUAACCAUUGGUUCUGCUGCAAAAAGACCGCGUGGACUGAGUCUAAUGCAAAGAGAAUAAGUGUCAAAGGCCUUAUACAAGAAAGUUAAAAGUUUGGCAACCAAAACAAGACAAAGUUUAUUGUCUAUUAUAAGAAAUAGACAAUGGCUUGGAUAUGAAAAGUCAACAAUAUGGUCAACCAAGAAACUCAUGCAAGGUUCAACAUUGCUGCUGUAAAAGAUGAGAAAUUUUGAAUUUUGUGCUAUUGGAACAUACCAAAUCAGCCUUAAAAAUGUUUAAAGGCUAAAUAUGGAUGCUAAUAGAAGUCAAAGUCACAACAUGGGUCAAUUGGAUGCGCUUAGAGUUGGGAUAAGUUCGUCAGUGAGGUGGUCAAUAGGUAGUCGUCGGAAAUUUUAUAGAUUCCAGUAAAGCUGCUUUGAGAUGAUGAUACAUACCGAAACAGAGGUCAAGUUGGUUUAAUGAACAAAGUGUUGACUGGUAUGGCUGACAUUUGGUAUUGCAGCUGCAAGUAUAAAUCGGGAUUUGCCAAGCAUGAAAAAGCUUGUCCUGAGAAUCGACAUGUCUUUAUUUCUUUUGCCUUGAUACUUUUGGCUUCCUUGCUCCUGAAGUUGUCGGUUUCCUGGACAAAGUGCAGAAGGUCAUCCACAACAAUUUCUCAACGUCAAGGAACCAUAGUUUUGUUUUCGGUAGGAUUGAAUUUGCUAUUCAAAGGGGGGGGGGGGGGGUUGUGGGGCAGCUUGUUGCCUGUUUAUCUGCCAUCCUUUUGUAAUUUUUUUCCUAAUACUUUUGGGAUCAAUCAUCAAAUUUGUGCUAGAAAGUGUGGUCAAAUUAAACAGAAGAGCAACACAUGGGUAUGAAUUAUGAUGGUCAACAGGACAAAUCUUAAUUCAGUUUAUGUUCAUGAUUAUUAUGUUGACCUGGCAACAUAAACAAUAAUGCACAGUAUCACCUCAUUAUGCUUA